ACUUAAAUUGAAGAGUUUGAUCAUGGCUCAGAUUGAACGCUGGCGGCAGGCCUAACACAUGCAAGUCGAGCGGUAGCACAGAGAGCUUGCUCUCGGGUGACGAGCGGCGGACGGGUGAGUAAUGUCUGGGAAACUGCCUGAUGGAGGGGGAUAACUACUGGAAACGGUAGCUAAUACCGCAUAAUGUCGCAAGACCAAAGUGGGGGACCUUCGGGCCUCAUGCCAUCAGAUGUGCCCAGAUGGGAUUAGCUAGUAGGUGGGGUAACGGCUCACCUAGGCGACGAUCCCUAGCUGGUCUGAGAGGAUGACCAGCCACACUGGAACUGAGACACGGUCCAGACUCCUACGGGAGGCAGCAGUGGGGAAUAUUGCACAAUGGGCGCAAGCCUGAUGCAGCCAUGCCGCGUGUGUGAAGAAGGCCUUCGGGUUGUAAAGCACUUUCAGCGGGGAGGAAGGCGGUGAGGUUAAUAACCUCAUCGAUUGACGUUACCCGCAGAAGAAGCACCGGCUAACUCCGUGCCAGCAGCCGCGGUAAUACGGAGGGUGCAAGCGUUAAUCGGAAUUACUGGGCGUAAAGCGCACGCAGGCGGUCUGUCAAGUCGGAUGUGAAAUCCCCGGGCUCAACCUGGGAACUGCAUUCGAAACUGGCAGGCUAGAGUCUUGUAGAGGGGGGUAGAAUUCCAGGUGUAGCGGUGAAAUGCGUAGAGAUCUGGAGGAAUACCGGUGGCGAAGGCGGCCCCCUGGACAAAGACUGACGCUCAGGUGCGAAAGCGUGGGGAGCAAACAGGAUUAGAUACCCUGGUAGUCCACGCCGUAAACGAUGUCGAUUUGGAGGUUGUGCCCUUGAGGCGUGGCUUCCGGAGCUAACGCGUUAAAUCGACCGCCUGGGGAGUACGGCCGCAAGGUUAAAACUCAAAUGAAUUGACGGGGGCCCGCACAAGCGGUGGAGCAUGUGGUUUAAUUCGAUGCAACGCGAAGAACCUUACCUGGUCUUGACAUCCACAGAACUUAGCAGAGAUGCUUUGGUGCCUUCGGGAACUGUGAGACAGGUGCUGCAUGGCUGUCGUCAGCUCGUGUUGUGAAAUGUUGGGUUAAGUCCCGCAACGAGCGCAACCCUUAUCCUUUGUUGCCAGCGGUCCGGCCGGGAACUCAAAGGAGACUGCCAGUGAUAAACUGGAGGAAGGUGGGGAUGACGUCAAGUCAUCAUGGCCCUUACGACCAGGGCUACACACGUGCUACAAUGGCAUAUACAAAGAGAAGCGACCUCGCGAGAGCAAGCGGACCUCAUAAAGUAUGUCGUAGUCCGGAUUGGAGUCUGCAACUCGACUCCAUGAAGUCGGAAUCGCUAGUAAUCGUAGAUCAGAAUGCUACGGUGAAUACGUUCCCGGGCCUUGUACACACCGCCCGUCACACCAUGGGAGUGGGUUGCAAAAGAAGUAGGUAGCUUAACCUUCGGGAGGGCGCUUACCACUUUGUGAUUCAUGACUGGGGUGAAGUCGUAACAAGGUAACCGUAGGGGAACCUGCGGUUGGAUCACCUCCUUACCUUAAAGAA
rnacentral:rRNA from 1 species